rnacentral:rRNA from 1 species
CCUAACACAUGCAAGUCGAGCGGCAGCACAGAGGAACUUGUUCCUUGGGUGGCGAGCGGCGGACGGGUGAGUAAUGCCUGGGAAAUUGCCCGGUAGAGGGGGAUAACCAUUGGAAACGAUGGCUAAUACCGCAUAACCUCGCAAGAGCAAAGCAGGGGACCUUCGGGCCUUGCGCUACCGGAUAUGCCCAGGUGGGAUUAGCUAGUUGGUGAGGUAAGGGCUCACCAAGGCGACGAUCCCUAGCUGGUCUGAGAGGAUGAUCAGCCACACUGGAACUGAGACACGGUCCAGACUCCUACGGGAGGCAGCAGUGGGGAAUAUUGCACAAUGGGCGCAAGCCUGAUGCAUCCAUGCCGCGUGUAUGAAGAAGGCCUUCGGGUUGUAAAGUAUUUUCAGUAGUCUUGAA